rnacentral:rRNA from 1 species
UGGCGGACGGGUGAGUAACACGUGGAUAACCUACCUAUAAGACUGGGAUAACUUCGGGAAACCGGAGCUAAUACCGGAUAAUAUAUUGAACCGCAUGGUUCAAUAGUGAAAGACGGUUUUGCUGUCACUUAUAGAUGGAUCCGCGCCGCAUUAGCUAGUUGGUAAGGUAACGGCUUACCAAGGCAACGAUGCGUAGCCGACCUGAGAGGGUGAUCGGCCACACUGGAACUGAGACACGGUCCAGACUCCUACGGGAGGCAGCAGUAGGGAAUCUUCCGCAAUGGGCGAAAGCCUGACGGAGCAACGCCGCGUGAGUGAUGAAGGUCUUCGGAUCGUAAAACUCUGUUAUUAGGGAAGAACAAAUGUGUAAGUAACUAUGCACGUCUUGACGGUACCUAAUCAGAAAGCCACGGCUAACUACGUGCCAGCAGCCGCGGUAAU